rnacentral:tRNA from 2 species
GCGUGUGUAGCUCAGCUGGAUAGAGUACCUGGCUACGAACCAGGCGGUCGGAGGUUCGAAUCCUUCCACACGCACCA